rnacentral:misc_RNA from 1 species
GAACUCUUUUUCAGCUCUCAAGUCAUAAUUGUUUGUACAUAUAAAACAAAUUUAAAAAGAGUUUUUAAUUCUUCAUUUUGCAGACUUCUGAACUUCAGGUACUUGAUCUUUUAAAGUUAAAAGGCUGGGGAUCAAAUUUUGAGAACUUUAUAUUUGAGGGAAAUUUAUGCGUAAUCCAUUCUGUAAGCAACUAAGUUUUGAAUUUACAUUGCUGUUGAUAAGGAGAUGAUUGCAUCUUUGGCUGUACUAUUUGUCAAUUUUAUCUAAAAUUUUCAAUACUUUUGCGAGAAGUGCGUGUCAAAAUAUUUUAGCAUCUGCUUACCAAUUCUAUCUAAAUUUUCAAUACUUUUGGAGAAAAGUGUGGUAUCAAAUUUUAGUUUCUGCUUAUGGAUAAUUUUUGUCUAGUGGCCUUAGCUUGUUUACAUUUUACCCAUUCAUGCAUUUACUGUUAAAUCAGAAAUGCAUAUUAUGGAUUAGUAAUCCUUUGUAAUUUCUGUGGCAUUCUGCAACUGUGAUUUGUUUAUUGAUAAUUUCUGAUGAAUUGUUAAUCGACAGGGAAG